rnacentral:lncRNA from 1 species
UUUACCGCGGAUUACAGAUCUGCAUGCUCUCUUCACAGAGGAGAGAUGUGUUUAUUAUGGUUUUUCCAGAGACAUUAAAAGGGUGUUAGCACAAAUCAAACCCAGAUUCACCCAGCAGGAAGGCAAUUUCAUGUCAGCACACUGGACACCUGCUGCAGUGGUUUCCCAUGUUUACCGAGAUGUCGGUGUGACCAAGUUCGAUGAGCUCCGAAUCCAGAGGACCAAUGAGAGCUGAUAUCUCAUCUUGAAGUGAGUUGGAUUUGCCUGAGACAGAGAGUUAUACCAAGUCAUCAAGUCUCACUCUCUCUUCCAGAGUUGUCCAAGUCCAGUAGAAAGACAAAAGUCAAGAUGAUGCUGAUGGCUCAAGAUGCAGCGGAUGACCUUGGCAUCUCUGAUGUCUGACCAAGCUCUAAGCACUCCAUAGCUCCUGCUUUGGCUGCCUUUGUGGCUGUUGGAAAGAGUGGUUUUCAUCUGCCCAUUCCCCUGGGAGAAGUCUUCACAUGCUUGGGGCAGACGUUCUCCCAACUCACAGAUGGGGUUGAGACCUGUUGGUUAAUCGCAACCUCGUUUAGCUGAUCUGCCAAGACAAUUUCAGAUGAGGUAGGGCCAACGUGUGUGUUUUAGCUUCUUGGAGACACGGGUGAGAGUUAGGUUAAAAAAAGAGAUACCGAAGGUGGGUGGAUGCUCAAUACUUUAUACACCUGGAUGAGCCUAUGAUGUUAUAAGCAGAAAAGAGAAUGUCAGAACAACUUAAAUAGCAAGAGGGCUAUUUAGUGCUCAUGGCUGGGCUGUGUUAGUAGCAUAACAAUGAUAACAUGAUCAAAAUUAAUGUAUAGAUUUAGUGCUACUAGUAAUCAAACUGACAAUCUGAUAUUUUAUAGUUAGACAAAAUAAUAACAAAAUUUGUUUGGAGAAACUAAAGAUGUAGAAAGCCAAAGGAAGUAAUUUUUAAAAGGUAGGAAUGAAAGGGAAAUAGAACUUUCAGACCUAUAAUUAUAUUAUAAAGCAGCAAUCAUCAAAACCAUUUGAUACUAGAUAAAAUAUUUAAAAGUAGAUCAAUGGAAGACACUAGAUGAGAAAGAAUCAGGAAUAAUUGAAUUUCACAACACAGUAUUCAAUUAAU